UUCCGGUUGAUCCUGCCGGAGGUUACUGCUAUCGGUAUUCGACUAAGCCAUGCGAGUUAAAUGUUCUUCGUGAACAUAGCGAACUGCUCAGUAACACGUGGAUAACCUGCCCUUAGGUUCGGCAUAACUCCGGGAAACUGGAGAUAAUUCCGAAUAAACCAUUCCUGCUGGAAUGCUUUUUGGUUCAAAGACUUCGGUUGCCUAAGGAUGGAUCUGCGGUCUAUCAGGUAGUAGUGGGUGUAAGGUACCUACUAGCCUACGACGGAUAUGGGUUGUGAGAGCAAGAGCCCAGAGAUGGAUUCUGAGACAUGAAUCCAGGCCCUACGGGGCGCAGCAGGCGCGAAAACUUUACAAUGCGGGAAACCGCGAUAAGGGGAUACCGAGUGCCAGCAUAUUAUGUUGGCUGUCCACAUGUGUAAACGGCAUGUGUUAGCAAGGGCCGGGCAAGACCGGUGCCAGCCGCCGCGGUAACACCGGCGGCCCGAGUGGUAAUCACUUUUAUUGGGUCUAAAGGGUCCGUAGCCGGUUUGAUCAGUUCUUCGGGAAAUCUGACAGCUCAACUGUUAGGCUUCCGGGGAAUACUGUCAGACUUGGGACCGGGAGAGGUAAGAGGUACUACAGGGGUAGGAGUGAAAUCUUGUAAUCCCUGUGGGACCACCAGUGGCGAAGGCGUCUUACCAGAACGGGUCCGACGGUGAGGGACGAAAGCUGGGGGAGCAAACCGGAUUAGAUACCCGGGUAGUCCCAGCUGUAAAC
rnacentral:rRNA from 1 species